AUUGAACGCUGGCGGCAGGCCUAACACAUGCAAGUCGAACGAGUGGCGGACGGGUGAGUAAUGUCUGGGAAACUGCCUGAUGGAGGGGGCUAACUACUGGACACGGUAGCUACUACCGCAUACCAUCAGAUGUGCCCAGAUGGGAUUCGCGAGUUGGUGGGGUAACGGCUCACCAAGGCGACGAUCCCUAGCUGGUCUGAGAGGAUGACCAGCCAAACUGGAACGGAGACACGGUCCAGCCUCCUACGGGAGGCAGCAGUGGGGAAUAUGGCACAAUGGGCGCAAGCCUGAUGCAGCCAUGCCGCGUGUAUGAAGAAGGCCUUCGGGUUGUAAAGUACUUUCAGCGAGGAGGCGUUACCCGCAGAAGAAGCACCGGCUAACGCCGUGCCAGCAGCCGCGGUAAUUC
rnacentral:rRNA from 1 species